GAAAUGCGAUAAGUAAUGUGAAUUGCAGAAUUCAGUGAAUCGUCGAAUCUUUGAACGCACCUUGCGCUCCUUGGUAUUCCUUGGAGCAUGCCUGUUUGAGUAUCAUGAAAUCUUCAAAGUAAAUCUUUUGUUAACUCAAUUGGUUUCUACUUUGGUAUUGGAGGUCUUUGCAGCUUCACACCUGCUCCUCUUUGUUCAUUAGCUGGAUCUCAGUGUUAUGCUUGGUUCCACUCGGCGUGAUAAGUUAUCUAUCGCUGAGGACACUGUAAAAGGUGGCCAAGGUAAAUGCAGAUGAACCGCUUCUAAUAGUCCAUUGACUUGGACAAUACUUUUAUGAUCUGAUCUCAAAUCAGGCAGGACUACCCGCUGAACUUAAGC
rnacentral:misc_RNA from 1 species